rnacentral:rRNA from 1 species
AUUGAACGCUGGCGGCAGGCCUAACACAUGCAAGUCGAGCGGAUGAAGGGAGCUUGCUCCUGGAUUCAGCGGCGGACGGGUGAGUAAUGCCUAGGAAUCUGCCUGGUCGUGGGGGAUAACGUCCGGAAACGGGCGCUAAUACCGCAUACGUCCUGAGGGAGAAAGUGGGGGAUCUUUGGACCUCACGCUAUCAGAUGAGCCUAGGUCGGAUUAGCUAGUUGGUGGGGUAAAGGCCUACCAAGGCAACGAUCCGUAACUGGUCUGAGAGGAUGAUCAGUCACACUGGAACUGAGACACGGUCCAGACUCCUACGGGAGGCAGCAGUGGGGAAUAUUGGACAAUGGGCGAAAGCCUGAUCCAGCCAUGCCGCGUGUGUGAAGAAGGUCUUCGGAUUGUAAAACACUUUAAGUUGGGAGGAAGGACAGUAAGUUAAUACCUGGCUGUUUUGACGUUACCAACAGAAUAAGCACCGGCUAACUUCGUG